CAGUCGAGGGGCAGCAUGGUCUUAGCUUGCUAAGGCUGAUGGCGACCGGCGCACCGGUGAGUAACACGUAUCCAACCUGCCGUCUACUCUUGGCCAGCCUUCUGAAAGGAAGAUUAAUCCAGGAUGGCAUCAUGAGUUCACAUGUCCGCAUGAUUAAAGGUAUUUUCCGGUAGACGAUGGGGAUGCGUUCCAUUAGAUAGUAGGCGGGGUAACGGCCCACCUAGUCAACGAUGGAUAGGGGUUCUGAGAGGAAGGUCCCCCACAUUGGAACUGAGACACGGUCCAAACUCCUACGGGAGGCAGCAGUGAGGAAUAUUGGUCAAUGGGCGAUGGCCUGAACCAGCCAAGUAGCGUGAAGGAUGACUGCCCUAUGGGUUGUAAACUUCUUUUAUAAAGGCAUAAAGUCGGGUAUGCGUACCCGUUUGCAUGUACUUUAUGAAUAAGGAUCGGCUAACUCCGUGCCAGCAGCCGCGGUAAUACGGAGGAUCCGAGCGUUAUCCGGAUUUAUUGGGUUUAAAGGGAGCGUAGAUGGAUGUUUAAGUCAGUUGUGAAAGUUUGCGGCUCAACCGUAAAAUUGCAGUUGAUACUGGAUGUCUUGAGUGCAGUUGAGGCAGGCGGAAUUCGUGGUGUAGCGGUGAAAUGCUUAGAUAUCACGAAGAACUCCGAUUGCGAAGGCAGCCUGCUAAGCUGCAACUGACAUUGAGGCUCGAAAGUGUGGGUAUCAAACAGGAUUAGAUACCCUGGUAGUCCACACGGUAAACGAUGAAUACUCGCUGUUU
rnacentral:rRNA from 1 species